UACGUAGGGUGCGAGCGUUAAUCGGAAUUACUGGGCGUAAAGCGUGCGCAGGCGGUGAUGUAAGACAGUUGUGAAAUCCCCGGGCUUAACCUGGGAAUUGCGUUGGAGACUGCAAGGCUGGAGUCUGGCAGAGGGGGGGGUAGAAUUCCACGUGUAGCAGUGAAAUGCGUAGAUAUGCGGAGGAACACCGAUGGCGAAGGCAAUCCCCUGGACCUGUACUGACGCUCAUGCACGAAAGCGUGGGGAGCAAACAGG
rnacentral:rRNA from 1 species